rnacentral:rRNA from 1 species
UGGGGAAUUUUGGACAAUGGGCGCAAGCCUGAUCCAGCAAUGCCGCGUGCAGGAUGAAGGCCUUCGGGUUGUAAACUGCUUUUGUUCGGAACGAAAAAGCUCUCUCUAAUACAGGGGGUGAAUGACGGUACCGUAAGAAUAAGCACCGGCUAACUACGUGCCAGCAGCCGCGGUAAUACGUAGGGUGCAAGCGUUAAUCGGAAUUACUGGGCGUAAAGCGUGCGCAGGCGGUUUUGUAAGACAGAGGUGAAAUCCCCGGGCUCAACCUGGGAACUGCCUUUGUGACUGCAAAGCUGGAGUGCGGCAGAGGGGGAUGGAAUUCCGCGUGUAGCAGUGAAAUGCGUAGAUAUGCGGAGGAACACCGAUGGCGAAGGCAAUCCCCUGGGCCUGCACUGACGCUCAUGCACGAAAGCGUGGGGAGCAAACA